UACGAAGGGGGCUAGCGUUGCUCGGAAUCACUGGGCGUAAAGGGUGCGUAGGCGGGUCUUUAAGUCAGGGGUGAAAUUCUGGAGCUCAACUCCAGAACUGCCUUUGAUACUGAGGAUCUUGAGUCCGGGAGAGGUGAGUGGAACUGCGAGUGUAGAGGUGAAAUUCGUAGAUAUUCGCAAGAACACCAGUGGCGAAGGCGGCUCACUGGCCCGGUACUGACGCUGAGGCACGAAAGCGUGGGGAGCAAACAGG
rnacentral:rRNA from 1 species